CCGUAGGCAGCGCGGCGCUCCGAGGGCCCCGAGCCGCGCCGCCAUGGCUGCCCGGGUCGGCUUUGCGCCCGCCGGCGAGGGCCUGCGCUACGCCGGGUCCUUGCAGCCCCCCGCCCAGCCGUCGGAUGCCGACCUCGACCGCGGGCUGGCAAGAAGUUUGAUAGCUGUGGGGCUGGGUAUUGCAGCGCUUGGCUUUGCAGGUCGCUACGCAUUUCAGAUCUGGAAACCUCUAGGACAAGUAAUCACAGAAACUGCGAAGAAGAUUUCAACUCCUAGCUUUUCAUCCUACUACAGAGGAGGAUUUGAACAGAAAAUGAGUAGGCGAGAAGCGAGUCUCAUUUUGGGUGUAAGCCCAUCUGCCAGCAAGGCCAAGAUUAGAGCAGCUCACAGGAGAAUCAUGAUUUUGAAUCACCCAGAUAAAGUCUGCAGACACCCGGUGUUACUCUCGGCUGUAGGAUUUCCGGAGAACUUGCUCUCAGUUUCCACACCUAGUUUAGCUCAGUGACUCUCACGGUGGUUCAGUAACACCCGCACCCCAGCACUGAUCCGCGGAACACAACUCAGGUGGAUCUCCUUACUUAGCAAUCAAAAUUAAUGAAGCAAAAGACUUGCUAGAAGCAACCACCAAACACUGAUGGAUACUCAGGGACCGCUCUGACGGAGAAAAGGGGGACCUUAUGAAUACAGUCCUGCAGAUUAAUGUAGACCAUGGCCUGCGUGAUGUUCAUACAAGUGCUGACCACAGUCGUUUCUUCCGUGACCAAGCUAUGUAAUAAAAAAAGAUGAGCAGUCUGCCUUUGUAUUAUCUUUCAAAGGAGCACAUGAAAAUUCUAGCACUGAUCUUUCCCCCUUAUUUUCUUCCUCCCUCUGAUAGUCAUACAUUUGAAGUCCCCCCUCCCCAGCACCUGCAACAGUGUAGUUAUCAGUAAUAUGAUUGGAAUUUGUGAGCAAGAGUGCAGAAUUUCUUGCUGCUUAUAUUUAUGCUCGCAUUGUCCCUUGUUUCUUCAAAGGAAUUUAGCACUCUGCCUACGUGAGGUGCUUUAAAUGUUUUGAGACGAAACCCUGACUGCCACCCCAGGAAAGUGAUCUGAAGCUUGAUGGAAUUUACAAAAGGGUGUUUUGUAAAGCAGUGGUUAGGAAAGAACACUGCUCUCCCAGAGAUCCCACGGCUGACGCAUGAGAACUUGGAGAGCUGCUAAAAUGAUUAAAGGUUUACAGAAUGAGCCCUGUGAGGAAAGCCUGGAAGUUGCUGGGAGAAGUCUGAGGGAUUCGUACUUAAUUAUAUAGUCUUCUGGUACUGUGUAUUUAUUCAAUUAUUCAUUCUACAAAUAUUUAUUUACCACCUGUAGCCUGUGAAGCACUGUAGGGGUCCUCAAGAGUUCCAGGUGUGAACCAGGCACGGAUCCUGACCCAAAGGAACUUACAUUUAGAGGAAAGAUAAACCACAGGAGUACUAUUAGCGAGUCACAGAUGAUAUGCCAAAGAAGUUCAAAAAAAAGAAUAUUUUACACCGGGCAUCAGGGGGUGCUUCAUAGAAUCAGUAGCGUAGAGCUGGGCUUUAAAAACAGUGAGAUAUACCAUAUGAUGGGUGAGUCAGCUCUUCUGAGAUGAGUCAGAAUUAGCAGAAAAAGGGUAUAUUAGUUCGAUUGGAGUGCAGGGUUUCUCCAAAGCAACGGAUGAACACACAAUCUGGAAGGGCUGGCCUGUAAUGUACAGUGCAUUCAGUUUCUUAUUUUUUUUUUUUUUUUUGCUCAACACAGCCCCUGGUCAUCAUCACUUUACUAUUCUAAAAGGGAGAAAAGAGACAGAGUCAGAAUACCAGCAUUAUUUUCUUGUACUCCUUUACAACAAUGAGUUCAUCCCAGGUUAUUGCAUUUCAUCUAUCUUAAAAUGCUUUUGUAAUAAUCUAGAUGCAUCUUUCAUUUUAUGACAUCCUGUAGUUAGGGAGUUCUCAGCACUGGUGAUAUUGACUCAUUGAGCUGCUAAUUCCUCCUGUGGGGUGCUCUCCUGUGUAUGGUAGGAUGAUUAGCAACAUCUUUGCCUGCACCUAAGAAAGGCCAGGAGCGCCCCCUCCAAGUUGUGAUAACCGAAAAUGUGUCUAGAUGUUGCCAAAUGUUCCUUGGAGGGCAAAAUUGCCCCAGGUAGAGAGCCACUGCUCUAAAUGUUAACAGUGUUUUCCUUUGGUACAUAAAAUAAUGGAUGACCUGACUUAAAAUUGAUUCUCAGAGUCACUAAAAUAUGGUUCUUGCUUUAAAAUCCCCAUGUGUGUCACAGUUUUUUUGUGCUUUAGUAUAUUUUCCUGUCCACUGCUAGCCCUGUGCCUUGAAUGCCCUCCUGAUACCCAGAUCUCCACGUGUUCAAAGCCUGGAGAUAGUUCAAGGCCAAGCUGAAAUGUCUGUCCCUCCUUUUCUGGUGCUUCCAGCAAAAGUAAUCCCAUGAAUUGUCAGCUCUCAGCAAACAAGGACCGUAUCUGUCUUGGUCACUGCUACAUUGACACUCAAUAAAUAAUUGUUAGAUGAACGAA